GUGAGGGAAGAGAGGGGAGGGAUGGAAACUUGAAAAGGAAUAUAGUUGUUGGGAAAAGGGAAAAGAAAAAAGGGAAAAAGUAGUAGAAUGGAAUGGUAGUGCUUGUUUGUGCUAGAAUGAGAAUUAAUGUGGUUGUGAAAUUGGUAACAGAAAUGGGAGUGAGUGAAUGAGUAAUAGAGAGAGGAACACUAAACAUAAAACUUAGGACACGGAC
rnacentral:lncRNA from 1 species